rnacentral:rRNA from 1 species
GACGAACGCUGGCGGCGUGCUUAACACAUGCAAGUCGAACGGAAAGGCCUCUUUCGGGGGGUACUCGAGUGGCGAACGGGUGAGUAACACGUGAGUAACCUGCCCUUUACUUUGGGAUAACUUCAGAAAACUGGGGCUAAUACCGUAUAGGAGCUCCUGCUGCAUGGUGGGGGUUGGAAAGUUUCGGCGGUUGGGGAUGGACUGGCGGCUUAUCAGCUUGUUGGUGGGGUAGGGGCUUACCAAGGCUUUGACGGGUAGCCGGCCUGGGAGGGUGACCGGCCACAUUGGGACUGAGGGACGGACCAGACUCCUACGGGAGGCAGCGGUGGGGAAUAUGGCCCAAUGGGUGGGAGCCUGAUGCAGCAACGCCGUGUGCGGGAUGACGGCCUUCGGGUUGUAAACCGCUUUCGCUCAUGACGAAGCUUUGUGUGACGGUAGUGGGUAAAGAGGCACCGGCUAACUACGU